GGCUUCAUAGCUCAAUUGGUAGAGCAUGCGCACUGGUAACGCCGGAGGUCAUGGGUCGUUCAAAUCCCGUUGGAAUCCA